AGAGUUUGAUCCUGGCUCAGGAUGAACGCUGGCGGCGUGCCUAAUGCAUGCAAGUCGAGCGACGCAUAUCGGAGGGGUAACCCACUGGUAUGACGGAGCGGCGAACGGGUGAGUAACACGUGAGUAACCUGCCCCACAGACCGGGAUAGCCCAGGGAAACCUGGAUUAAUACCGGAUAUUCUCUUCGAACUUCAUGGUUCAUUGAGGAAAUGCCUUUGUGCUGUGGGAUGGACUCGCGGCUUAUCAGCUAGUUGGUGGGGUAACGGCCUACCAAGGCAUCGACGAGUAGCUGGUCUGAGAGGACGAUCAGCCACACUGGGACUGAGACACGGCCCAGACUCCUACGGGAGGCAGCAGCAGGGAAUCUUGCACAAUGGGCGAAAGCCUGAUGCAGCAACGCCGCGUGUGGGAUGAAUGCCUUCGGGUUGUAAACCACUUUCAGGAGGGAAGAAAUUGACGGUACCUCCAAAAGAAGCCCCGGCCAACUACGUGCCAGCAGCCGCGGUAAUACGUAGGGGGCGAGCGUUAUCCGGAAUCAUUGGGCGUAAAGAGCUCGUAGGCGGUUCAGCAAGUCGGCUGUGAAAGUCCAAGGCUUAACCUUGGAAAUGCAGUCGAUACUGCUGUGACUAGAGUCUGGUAGAGGAGAAUGGAAUUCCCGGUGUAGCGGUGGAAUGCGCAGAUAUCGGGAGGAACACCAGUAGCGAAGGCGGUUCUCUGGGCCUCGACUGACGCUGAGGAGCGAAAGCAUGGGUAGCAAACAGGAUUAGAUACCCUGGUAGUCC
rnacentral:rRNA from 1 species